UUUUGAACAGGGGUAAACAAAUUUGAUUGCUUUUGAUCAAGCGCUGUGUUUGGCUGCUGCAAAGUAACAUAAUAUAAGAAAUUGACCCGCAUGCUUUUGUAUUUGAACUGCUACAGCCACAAAGGAUUACUUUUGAGUAAUCCCACAAACUGAUGGAGUUUCAUGUGAUCCAAUAAAUCUAUUUUAUAAUAAAAAUAACUUUACAAUACGAUGAAUCACAGCCACAUCAGACUGUAAGAUUAUUUUUAUGUAAUCCCUUUGUGGUAAAGUAUUUCUCUUCUUUUUAAGUAAUUGCUUGUUCCAAAUGUUUUCAUUGAAACGAAAGCCUCUAUUUGAAACCUUCAUUGUGGCUUCAAAUCACAAAUCGUCACCCUGAAUGAGAGGAAUUGACGAUAUGAGUGAGACAAUAAUGAUCUGCAAGGAGAGUUUCUAAGGACAAUGCAAGCGUUAUCUUUUGAGGGUGGGUAUCCUAUUAGGCUUACAGUUGAAAUAGCAUGAAUGUGUCUCAGUUGGUUUCAAAGUCCAAUUUUAGGUGCCAACGACAGUGUUUGGAACUGGAAGCUGAGGCUAUGAUGGUUGUUGUUUGUAGAAAGUUAAUGUUUGGUCGUUGAAUGUAACUCCUUAAGGGGAAAAAAAGAAAAAGAGGAAAAGUUUGAUCUUAAGAUGUCAGUGCAAUAUUUUCAAUUUGAAUGCAAAUUAAAUGUAUAGUGUGGAUUCCUAUAUUACUGGCAGUCAUAUUGUACCUUUAUGUGUGUCCAUGGUAAUUUCUUUGUCCUUCACACACCGGUACCGGCUGUUGUACCAUAUUUGACUUACCAAAGUAAAAAAUCUGGGAAUUGAAAAUGAAGGGUGUUCUGAUAACAGAAAAUGCAAAGUUGUAAUAGGGAUAUGAAAUUUAGAAUGAGUUUGCCUAGACAUUCAAUGUACAUGUCCAAGAAUAUUCAGGGGUCCCCAGUCUUGGCAUGUUGCUUGAUCCUGUGGUCUUAUUUGAAGACAUCAUCGACUAUUGUAUAGCACUUGAUUGAGGUCUCAUUCAAUACCAAAAUGCAAUUUAAGAAGACAUCUUCAUCAAGUCUAACAUAAAAUCAUCAUGGCAGUCUGUUUAAAAAAGUUAAAAAGCAUCUGCAAUGACUUAUUUGUAUGCUAAUUGAGAUCUUUGUGAAAGUUGAUGUGUUCAUCUUUGGUAAAUGCUUGAUUUGAAGGACUUAUA